UACGUAGGGUGCGAGCGUUGUCCGAAAUUAUUGGGCGUAAAGCGCGUGUAGGCGGCCCUGCAAGUCGGGUGUGAAAUCCCACGGCUCAACCGUGGAAGUGCACUCGAAACUGCAGGGCUAGAGUCCUGGAGAGGAAGGUGGAAUGCUUGGUGUAGAGGUGAAAUUCGUAGAUAUCAAGCGGAACACCGGUGGCGAAGGCGGCCUUCUGGACAGUGACUGACGCUGAGACGGCGAAAGCGUGGGGAGCAAACAGG
rnacentral:rRNA from 1 species